GUUUCUCUAAAUUACGCGUUCUCACCGUACGGUAAUAAUUGCUCACGCCUUUUUAGUUUCGGUUUGUUAGCGAUUUUAGUUAGCUUUACUUUCUCCGAGGAUGCUACGGCUGUUGCAUAAUCGAAAGUAAACAUUUCUAUGCCGUUUCCUUUCUCGUUACGUAGGAAAACUAUGAUUCCUUAAUUGAAAACUCACGACAAGAAGAGGUGGUCAUACGAGUUUACCCUAGAGACCCAAAAACAAGAAACAAAACAAAUUAUUUUACAAUAAAAAUAUAUACUUCUCUCCCUUUAAGCCAAUCCUGGCAAAGCUUGGGCAGGAUCAGCUAUGAAAAUAGGAGAGGAGUUUUGCACCUGUAUCCAGGCGCACAAUCAGAAGGAAGGGAAGUGCAUGCCGCGUGAAUUCUGCUGCCAAGUCUAUCCGUUAGACGCCGAAUGAAUAAUUCAUGCGAUAGAGGCCAGGGGCUUGAAUCAUCGCCUCUCUAGCCGCAGCGAAUCCAGCCUCGGCCGAGGAUCCGCGCUAUGAUAAUUGCUCGUUAGCGGCGAUCCUGCAACCUCGGUCAGGCCCGAUAUUAAUCAGCAACGCUCGGCUGAUAAUGGAAUUAGAGCUAUGCUCCGGCGUUAGAUUAAAAAAAAAUCAUCCGUCCGGCGUGAUAAUUUCAAUUUCGUGCUCGGACGCGAUCGAACUAAUCGCGAUUCAUUUCCUAACUUAAUGGAAACGGUUAUUAAAAGAGAAUAGAGAUUCCUCUAGGGCAAAAUGGUUUCUUAUCAUGCAAGAUUUUGGAAUUGAGAUAUAAAACUUUAUUGGAAUUAUUCAUGGAA